rnacentral:lncRNA from 1 species
UGGAAGGUCCCUGAAACUCUCCUGUGCAGCCUCAGGAUUCACUUUCAGUAGCUUUGCAAUGGCCUGGGUGCGCCAGGCUCCAAAGAAGGGUCUGGAGUGGGUUGCAACCAUUACUUCUGGUGGUAGUAACACUUACUAUCCAGACUCCGUGAAAGGCCGAUUCACUAUCUCCAGAGAUAAUGCAAAAAGCACCCUAUACCUGCAAAUGGACAGUCUGAGGUCUGAGGACACGGCCACUUAUUACUGU